AUGAGGACAUCCGAGGGGGCUUUCAUCAUGCUCUUGUGGCUGCUGCUGCACUGGCUCAGCCGAGGAGAGAAUGUGGAGCAGAGUCCUUCCACCCUGAGAGUCCAGGAGGGAAACAGCUGUGUUAUCACCUGUAGUUACUCAGACAGUGCCUCAAACUACUUCCCUUGGUAUAAGCAAGAACUUGGAAAAGGUCCCCAGCUCAUUAUAGACAUUCGUUCAAGUGUGGCCAAAAAAGAAGACCAAAGACUCACUGUUUUACUGAAUAAGACGGCCAAGCAUCUGUCCCUGCACAUCGCAGCCGCCCAGCCUGCAGACUCAGCUGUCUACUUCUGUGCAGCAAGUGCACAUUGCGUCCCAGACACCUGCUGCCUGCACCCAAACCUGUGA